rnacentral:tRNA from 1 species
GGCUACUUAGUUCAGCGGGUUAGAGCACAGCACUCACAUAAUGCUGGGGUUACAGGUUCGAUUCCCGUAGUAGCCACCA